rnacentral:rRNA from 1 species
GACGAACGCUGGCGGCGUGCUUAACACAUGCAAGUCGAACGGAAAGGCCCUGCUUUUGUGGGGUGCUCGAGUGGCGAACGGGUGAGUAACACGUGAGUAACCUGCCCUUGACUUCGGGAUAACUUCAGGAAACUGGGGCUAAUACCGGAUAGGAGCUCCUGCUGCAUGGCGGGGGUUGGAAAGUUUCGGCGGUUGGGGAUGGACUCGCGGCUUAUCAGCUUGUUGGUGGGGUAGUGGCUUACCAAGGCUUUGACGGGUAGCCGGCCUGAGAGGGUGACCGGCCACAUUGGGACUGAGAUACGGCCCAGACUCCUACGGGAGGCAGCAGUGGGGAAUAUUGCACAAUGGGCGGAAGCCUGAUGCAGCAACGCCGCGUGCGGGAUGACGGCCUUCGGGUUGUAAACCGCUUUCGCCUGUGACGAAGCGUGAGUGACGGUAAUGGGUAAAGAAGCACCGGCUAACUACGUG